rnacentral:lncRNA from 1 species
UGCUGGAUGAAGACCUCCCAGAAGAUGGCUCUCUGCACAGCGGUACGGGUCGAUGUCAUGAUGUCAUCUCGUGUCCUGAUGGUCUUUCUCUGCCCUCAUUCAUCUCUUUGGUUUCAUGCGGAGCAGAAGGAGACGGCAUCGCCCACAUGGCUCAGUGGAGGAUGAGACAGCUGUGCUGGGGGACGCAGGACGUCCACAAUGACAACGAGAGUGAUUUACAGAGCUACAAGCUUUCAGAGGAUCCGGGGAACAAGAGGACGGACGGAGACCUCGUCCUGGACUUCUGUCCUCCGAGGUGUCCUGCUGCUGCUUUGGGUGUUGAUGUGGAGGAACUGGCUGAAGACUGUUCUGCAGUCAGAUCCCAGCUGGAGUAUCUGCAGAGGUUACUGCUGCAGGAGGAGGACGAGGACACUCUGACCACCGACACGCUGAGUCCUGAGACCGAGUCCUUCCACAGCUCCGACACACAGGUGCAGUCUCUCCUGCAGGAGGUGCAGCAGCUCAGAGAGGAGCUGAGGAGCCGGGACCGGACCAUCGCACAGCUCAGCCUGAAGCUGACUGUUCCCACGGCGACCAGCGGGUGUUGUUGCCAGGAGACGAUGGGGAGGACGGAUCGCCACACACAGACGAGCGCGACGGAGAGAGAGAGCGUCGCCUCGCAGACGCCCUGGAGAGAGCACGCUUCACAGAUAUUUCUCCCCUCCCGCCCAGACGACCAGGAACCACUGAAGCACCGAAACGAAGCUCCGCCUCCGGCUCGCCCCAGCUCCGCCCGACCCCACGUCCCUGCUGAAGGCGUCCCGAACACCAACGGCACCGACCGCACGACGGAGGGAGCGAGGAAGGUGGAGGAUGGAGAGACGAAGGAGAGAAGAAGAAACUACGGCAGAUCCCUGCAGCCACCGCAGCCCUCUAAACUCCACCUAUUCAUGUCCGCCAUGCCGCCGAAGACGAGGGCGCCCAGGCCUCAUGACCCCGAGGGCAACGCCCCUUCGGGGUUAAAGGUCAAAAUCGCUGCCUUCACCUCCGGCUCGUCCCGCCUCCCCAAGCCAAAGAGCCACUGA